AUUGAACGCUGGCGGCAGGCUUAACACAUGCAAGUCGAGCGGGGUGAUGGUGCUUGCACUAUCACUUAGCGGCGGACGGGUGAGUAAUGCUUAGGAAUCUGCCUAUUAGUGGGGGACAACAUCUCGAAAGGGAUGCUAAUAACGCAUACGUCCUACGGGAGAAAGCAGGGGAUCACUUGUGACCUUGCGCUAAUAGAUGGGCCUAAGUCGGAUUAGCAAGUUGGUAGGGUAAAGCCCUACCAAGGCGACGAUCUGUAGCGGGUAUGAGAGGAUGAUCCGCCACACUGGGAAUGAGACACGGCCCAGACUCCUACGGGAGGCAGCAGUGGGGAAUAUUGGACAAUGGGGGGAACCCUGAUCCAGCCAUGCCGCGUGUGCGAAGAAGGCCUUAUGGUUGUAAAGCACUUUAAGCGAGGAGGGGGCUCUUUUGGUUAAUACCCAAGAUGAGUGGACGUUACUCGCAGAAUAAGCACCGGCUAACUCUGUGCCAGCAGCCGCCGUAA
rnacentral:rRNA from 1 species